AUCGGACGUCAGUGUGCACCGUGAGGUGACGAGCGCGGACUAAGAAGACAUGGCGGACGAUAAAUACUUACCCGAGCUGAUGGCGGAGCGGGACAGCCUAGAUCCUUCUUUCGUGCAUGGUUCUAGGCUGUUGUCGGCAGAAAUUGAAAAGGUUCAAAAGGGAGAGAAAAAGGAAGACGAAAAAAGAUUUCUUGAUAUUCUGACCCAGAAGAACAUCAAGCUUUCUGAGCGAUGCCUGAUACCAGUUGCACAGUUUCCAAAGUUCAACUUUGUAGGGAAGCUGCUUGGACCAAGAGGAAAUUCAUUGAAGCGGUUACAAGAGGACACUGGCACCAAAAUGUCCAUCCUUGGGAAAGGUUCAAUGAGAGAUAAGGCCAAGGAAGACGAGCUCCGUAAAGGAGGCGAAGCGAAGUAUGCACACUUGAACAGUGAUCUCCAUGUUCUUGUUGAAGUCUUUGCACCUCCAACUGAAGCCUAUUCCCGAAUGUACCAUGCAAUGGAGGAGCUGAAAAAAUUCCUCAUACCUGACUACAAUGAUGAAAUAAGGCAAGAGCAGCUAACUGAGCUGGCGUACUUGAAUGGUGGACAAGAUACAUCCCGUGGGAGAGGUGUUCGUGCCAGAGGUGCUCCACCUGUACCGCUUGCAAGUCUGGUUCUUCCUAGGGGCCGUGGUGUCGCUCCACCUCCUCCUUCCCCACAGUAUGGGCCGCGAGGUGCAAUGACACGUGGAGUAGCGGUGAGAGGAGCACCAGGAGGCCGCAGGGAAGUGACAAGUGGGCGUGGUGCCACUCCAGCACAGAGGGGUGCCCCAGCACUUCGUAGUCGAGGGACACCUGCAGUGUAUAGACAGCCACUGCACCCGCCACCUGCUCAAGAGAGUUAUGACGAAUAUGGCUAUGAUGAUGGCUAUUCAGAGCAAAAUUAUGAUAAUUACGAAAACUAUUAUGAUCAAGCCCAGAGUGACGCUGAAUAUUUUGACUAUGGACAUGGUGAAGUACAGGAUGCAUAUGAUGAUUAUGGUCAGGAAGAGUGGAAUGCAGGACGAACAAGCAGGAAGGCACCAGCAAGGCCACUGAAGGGAAUGUACAGAGAACAUCCUUACGGGCGAUACUAAGGCCAGCCUCCAAUCAACCAUGUGUGCGUCCUUAUAAAUUGCUUCAAUCUUCUGUGGUCACCAUCUUGUUAUCAGCUGUGAGACAAGCACGGGGUUGAAAGCCCUGCUGAAUUCUACAUCCAUGGAAACCUGAGAAGGCUUGUUGGGUAUGUAUGAAUUUUCAUGCUGUUCGUUUAAAGACCAGUCUAGUGUCCUAGUCACUGAUGAGUCUUGAGUAAAGAAAACUCUUUUACUUUGCCUCAGACCAGUUGCUGGAAAAUACGUACUUCUGGAAGAGAUAGCUGCCUUAUAGACAAACUACCUAAAGCUGCAUUUGCUUGUAUUUGUCUAGGUACUCAGAUUUACUUAGAAUGAAAUUCUUUUGGAUGACAUUCAGUUUUGUUGUUUUCCCUUUGUAUUAAUUACACUACCUCCACAGCUCAGAGCUGUAGUUCAAAAGACAUUACAGUACAUUACAUGUAUAUGGUGACAUAUAACCCUGAAAUUCAUUUUCUUUUGGAUGGCCACAGUAAAUACAAAGAAACAAUAGCAUCUGAAAGAGCACACUUAACAAGAUGGACAAACAACCAAUGUGAAAAAGACGACAAACUGAAAAUACAAAAAGAAAUAAACCAAAAUAAGCAAUAAAUAUCGAGAACAAGAGGAAAAGACCUUGUAAGUACAUAGGUUGUGGGUAUAGUUCAUGGUUGGAGUGAUUGAAGUUAUCCCCUCAAAUUCAAGAGCCUGAUAGUUGAGGGGUAAUAACUGUUCCUGAAACUGGUGGUGUGGGUCCUGAGGCUCAUGUACUUCCUUCCUGAUGGCAGCAGCAAGAGAAGAUCAUGGCCUGAUGGCUGCUGUUUUCCUGUGACAACGUUCUAUGCCGAUGUGCUCAGUGGCUGGUGGAGAGGGGGUUUACCCACGACCUGCUGGCUGUAUCUACUACUAUUUGUAGGCUUUUCUGUACAAGGGCAUUGGUGUUUCCAUACCAGGCCAUGACAUAACCAGUCAAUAUAUUCUCCACCACACAUUUAGAGAAGUUCGCCAAAGUUAUAGGUGACAUGCUGAAUCUUUGCAAACUUCUAAGAAAGCAGAGCACUGCUCUGCUUUCUUUGUAAUGGCAUUUAUAUGCUAGAAAUAGGAUAGAUCCUCUAAAAUGAUAAUGCUGAGGAAAUUAAGUUGCUGACCCUCUGCAUCUCUGAUGGGGACUAGCUCAUAGACCUCCAGUCUCCUCCUGUAGUCAAUAAUCAGUUCCUUGGUCUUGCUGACAUUGAGUGAGAUGUUGUUAUGACACAACUCAGCCAUAUUUUCCCCCUCCUUCCUGUAUGCUGAUCUGCCACCACCUUUGAUUCGUUUGGCCAAUGACGGGGUGUUGUCAGCAAACAUACAUUUGGCAAUUGAGCUGUGUUAGCUUCACAGUAAUGAGUACAAAGUGAGCAGAGCAGGGCAGGGGGUUAAGUACACAGCCUUGUGGUGCACCUGUGCUGAUGGUGAUAGUGGAAGAGAAACUGGCUGAAGUGAGGACCCAGCUGCACAAGGAGUUAUUGAGGCCUAGGUCUUGGAGCUUAUUGAUUCGUUUUGAGGGGAUGAUUGUAUUGAAUGCAAAGCUGUAGUCGAUGAAGAACAUCCUGAUGUGUGCACCUUCACUGUCCUGAUGUUCCAGGUUAGAGCGAGGAGCCAGUGAAAUGUCAUCUGCCAUUGACUUGUGACAUUAGGCAAACUGGAGCCUAUCCAAGUUGUUCCUCAGGCAGGAGUUGAUAUGUUCAUCACCAACUUCUCAAAACACUCCGUCACAGUGCAUGAUAGCUGUAGUGGGAAAAUAGAAGUAAAACACGGUAAGUUCAGAGUGGCAGACACUUCAAAAAUAUUUUCAACAAAAACGAUAGGCAAGGGCAGACCACCCUUCUCAAGCUCAAGUUUAGAUUGGCUAUAAUUAGGAAAGCAAAAUUUAUGCUGCAAAAACAUUGGAUCAGCAAACAAAGGAAAGGACAUGGUAAUUGUGCAAGAAAGGUUAAUAGACUGAGAUCUACAAAAAAAAAAAGUGGGGCGUCAGCUCCUUAGAGGAUGAGGAAUAUGAAAAUGGAAGAGACUUGGAACAACUUUUGCAAUUACAAUAUGGACACUAAAGGACCCCCUAUAGUAGAAAAUCUGAAAGCAAAAUAUUAAGUGUUUUAAACAAUGACCAUAAUCAUAGAAGCUAAUGGAUGUAGAAACCUGAUGUGCUAAAACCUUGAAUUUUACUAGAAGUGAUUACAGUAGUAAUGAAACAUUUUGGAAUAAAUACCUCAUCUUCUGGGAGAGUCUAACGGAGCAAGAAAACUGCAAAUCUAACAUGACUUAAAUUGGGACAAGGCAAUAGGUAUAACACCUGUUAUCGUGAAAUUGUUUGGAUUGAGUUAUUACAUAGUAAUCAAACAAGUAAAGAUCACCUUUGAAUUUGAUUUUGAUAGUCAAGAUAAUUAGGUCUUAUGUUUAAAGUGCAUCAGGAGUGCUCAUAGUGCUGGAGGUAACCAUUGGCACUGAUAAUAAAGGAUUGCCUGUCUGGCAAAGUUUUACAGUAAGUGGCUCAUUUUGGGGUUGGCAAGUUGAGAGUGAUUGAUGCUUCAUCUGAAUUAAUGUCUGAUAAGGAAGCAUGUGGCCAAGCUUAGAUAUCAGGUAGGUAUGCAAGAUGUAAGGAGGACCAAGUGUAAAGUGAAAUAUGUAGAUGAGUAACGUCAAAUUUUUGGACACAGUAGGCACAAAACAAAACAUUAAGUGGAGAAAGUUCAAGAUGCAUGGGGUUGUGGAUGUUCUCAUACAUGUUUUAUCUGUUUGCAAAGUUAGCAGUCAAGGAAGGAAAUAGGAUAUAGAGUGUUUUGUUUCAGGCAUUUAAAAAUUUGAUGAGACCACAUCUCAAAUACUGUGUGCAGUUUUAGGAUGGGAUAUACUUAGCAGUUCAGAGAAGAUUUGCUACAUUGUUUCCUGGGAUGAAGGGAUUUCUUUGCAAGGAAGGACACUGGAAUUUGAGUUAAUGACCAUUGGAUUCAAGGGGAACUUGACAGGGUAAAUACAACAAAGGUACUUCCUCUCCUGGGUGAAUGUAGGACUAAUGUUGUACUUCAGAAUAAGGGGUUUCCAAUUUAAGACUAAAAUUAGGGGGUGUGAAUCUUUCAAUUUCUGUAAUCAGAAUAAUGGAUAUCAGUUAUUUUGGCUAUGGGAGCAGGCACAAUAAUGAUGUUCAUGAUGAGGUUAGAUCAUUUAUGCUUUUAUUUGACUUUGGAAAAGGCUGUCCACUCUAAAGCUCAACUUUUAGUUUUAUUCUGUAGUUUUACAAAUAGUGGUCUUAGAUGAAAGGUGACUUGUACCAGGUGAUAAGAGGCAUAAUAUCGAGUGGAUAGUCAAGACUUUUUCCCAGGGUGGAAAUGCCCAAUAAGGGGGUAUAAUUUUAAAGUAAUUGGAGGAAAGUAACGGCGGAUGCCAGAGGUAAUUUUUUUUUACCCAGUGGGUUUCUGGAAUGCACCCCAUGGGUGAUGGUGGAGUCAGAUACAUUAGGGACAUUUAAGAGACUCUUGGGCAUAUGGAUGGUAGAAAAAUGGAGAUCUAUUUAGGCGGAAAGGGUUAGAUUGAUAGGUUAAGAUGUAGCACUUCGUGGGCUGAAGGGACUGUACCGUGCUGCAAUGUUGUUUUAUUAGGAAACAGCCUUGAUAUAACUGCCCUUUUUCUAGUGAAAUGUUGCUACCCAACCUCAGUGAGGUUGCAUUUGAAGAUCAUGUACAUCGGUUAUUUCCGCUUUUUUUUCCUGCUGUUGCUCUUACUUGUGAAGUUGAAUCUCCCCCUUUUUUCAGAAACCUUUCUUACCUUUAUUGGUAAAUUUGAGAAGAUUAGUCUUGGUUCAGACUACACUUUACAUGCAUUCUACCUCUAAAAGUUUGGUAUUUUUUUGGGGAGAAAAAUAGAAUUCCCAGUCCUUUGAAGCCUGCAACAAAGUAGCAGUAAUUGCCUAAUCAGUAUUUAAACCUUUGCGUUUGGGUUAUUUAAUUUCUUUGUAGUACCCUGGGACAGUAUACUGUGUUUUAUUAAACUGUGACAAUAGUGUGUGAUUUCUGUGACCUUUUUAUCUUAAAGAUGGCCGAGCCUAGGUGGUUGGAGAUGAUUAUUGCUGUAACAAGUGUGUAAACCUCUGAGAAAGUUACUGUUGCAGGGUCAUUUAUCGUAUUCUCAGUAGAUUGCUGAAAACUAACGUUUCCAUUUUUGCAAAAAGCUCUUGUGAAGAACAAUGUUUAAAUACAUAAGAUUUAACUACCUGGUGAGAUAAGAUAUAUUUUUGUUCAGUAAUGUAUGUUCUGAUUAUUCUACAACAGGACAAUGAGGCAAGAAAUGCUUUGAUUUUGUAAGGAUGUUUUCUGUCCUGAGAUGUAUGGGGAUAUCGUAUUAUGCUAGAAAGAUCACAACCAAUGGGAGUGGAAUGUUGUUGCAAGUAUUUAGAAAGAUUAAUCUGCCCUCCAGCAAGUGGAAGAUGGGAGAUUCCUUGGAGCUGUAAUUUGCUAAAGAUGAUAUCAAACUAGAUAGGACUUUUGUAGACAGUUAAUGUUGAAUGCUCCCAUAUUCCGAAGACGUGGGAUAGUAGUUUAAUUGGUCACAUGAACAAUUAAGUAGUGUAGGCUUGGGCUGGAAGGGCCUGUCACUGUGCUGUAUAACUAAAUAAAAUAUGUUCUUUGUACUGCUGUAUUCUGUCUGUAUUAAGUUUCAAGAAAACGAUGAGAUCCGAUAAGACUUGUUGAGAGAUAAAUCUCUUGUUAAAUGAGAAGUGAAAAGAUAAACAUUUUUGAUUUCAGUGUUUUGACAAUACACUAUCUUAAAAGAAUUGAGUGAAUUUAGAUUAGUGCAGUAAAAUGUUGCAAUACCAACUGUCAACAGACCUGUUGAGGGAUAACAAAUGGCAUUCUUUUUUUUAUAAGGGGUAUAGAUAGGGUAUGUGCAAGCAGUGUUUUUCCACUGAGGUUGGGUGGGUCUACAGCUGAAGUUCGUGUGUUAUGGGUAAAAGAUGAAAAGUUUAAGGAGAAUAUGAGGUGAAACUUCACUCAGAGGGUAGUGUAAGGGUUGAACAAGUGGUGCAUGUGAGUUCGAUUUCAAUGUUUUGGGGAAGUUAGAAUAGGUAUAUGGAUGGUAGGACUGUGGUCCAAGUGCAAAUUGAUGGGUCUAGGCAGUUUGAAAGGUUUGGUACUGACUAGAUGGGCCGAAGGACCUGUUACAGUGCUGUACUGUUUUAUAAAUCUAUCCACAAUUCCACCAUCCUUCAUGUCAUCUGCAUACCUCAAACCCACCCUAUCACUUCCACACCCAAGUCAUUUACAAAAAUCACGAAGGGUGGGGGUCUCUGAACAGAUCCCUGCAGAACACCAUUGGUCACUGACCUCCAAGCAGAAUACUCUCCAUUCACUACCACCAUCUGCCUUCUAUGAGCAAGCCAAUUCUGAAUCCACAUAGCCAGCUUUCCUGGGAUUUAAUGCCUCCUAACUUUCAGAAUAAGCAUAUCACGGGGAUCCUUUAUCAAAUAGAACACAGAACCUUGAACAGUACAACAUAGGAACAGGCCCUGUGGCCCACAAUGUUAUUCCAAACCAGCUAGAAAGUAAAUCAAAACACCCAGAAACUAAUCUCUCCUACCUACACAAUACCCAUAUCCCUCCAUUUUCCUCACAUUUAUGUGUCUAUAUAUGUCUCUUAAAAACCUCAUGUACAGGUAUGUGUCGCUUAACGUCCACGAUACGUUCUGUGAAAUCGGAUUUAUGUGAUUUUGACGUCGUGCGAACACCAUAUUACAGGUCGGCCUUCACUAAUCCGACUGCCUGUAAUACGAUUUCUUCAGUAAACCGGUACUGAUUACGCUUAAUUUGAUCCUUCUGUAAUUGGGCAUUUUCACUAAUCUGGCACUCCUCAGGUCCCAGUUGUGCUGGAUUAGUGAAGGUUGACCUGUAUAUACUUAGCAAACCUAUAUGGAGUACUGUAGUGUACCUGUAUUGACUAAAUAGCCAAGAGCUUGCACUAAAACUGUAUACUGUACACUAAUACAUACAUACACUAUAAUUUUUUAUUUCAUUUUAAACUUACUUUUUUUUCACUUUUUAAACUUUUAUGUAAACAUUUUCUUAGCCUAUAUCACACAAUUUAUCAAAGAGGAUCAGGAUCAUGAGCCUUGUAGUUUUCAGUGAAGCCGAUCCUUUAACAACUUCGAGAAUUUUUUCUUUGUUUUUCAGGAUCGUCGUGAUUGUCGAGUGCGACAUGCCCAAAUCCCGAGCAAUAGCAUUCACUGGUUUUCCACCUUCAUAUUGUUUAAUCUUUUGUUUCACUUCCAAAUCAAUACUUUUGCUGCUGCUGUCUCUAGGAGUGGUUUUGCUGCGUUUGGAAGCCAUGAUGCACUUUACGGUAAUAUUUUCGAAAUUAAACAGAUAACGCUACUACACUCAAGAGACACACGAUACAUGAGAUUGGUUACGUCCGCUAUGUCACGUUCUCCGAUCGUGACUAAGGGCGUAUAUGCGAUCGGACGUUGUCCGAAUGGACAUUAAGCAGCGCACACCUGUAUUUACCUCUACCACCAUACCAGACAAUGCAUUCCAGGCAUCCACCACUCUCAGAGUAAAAUAACUUGCUCCUCGCAUCCCCUUUUGAACCUUUCCCCUCUCACCUUCAAUGCAAUGCAUGCCUUCAAUUUAGACAUUUUUAUACUGGGAAACAGAUGCUCCCUGUCUUAUUCUUACCUACGCCUCUUAUAAGCUAUCAGAUCUCCCCUCGGCCUCUGCUACUCCAGAGAAAACAAUCCAAGAUUGUCCAGCCUCCAUUGAUUGCACAUCCUGGAAAACCUCUUCUGCACCUUCUGUAAGUGAGGCCACCAGAACUGUGUGGAAUACACCAGAUGUUACCUAAGUAGAGUUUUAUAACGUUACAUAUCACCACAUCCGCUGCUCUACCUUCAUGAAUGUCAUUUGUCACAUCCUCAAUAUAUUCAGCCUUUUGAAGCAUGACCUGCCCCUCACAAACCUAUGCUGACUACCCCUAAUCACACAAUGCUUCUCCAAAUACUCGCAAGUCUUGUCGCUGCAGAUUGUUUACAAUAAUUUGCCCAUCACUAAAGUAAGACUCACAGGUCUAUAAUUCCCAGGGUUGUCCCGACUCCCUUUCUUGAACAAAGCAAUAACAUUUGACGCCCACUUAUCUGGAACUACUCCAGUGGCCAGAUAACUUUGUAGUGGGUAAAAGAAGAUGCAGAGAACAAAUUUUACUGGAAGAUUGGGGGAACAAGUUGUACACCCAAAUUUUGCCAGGGUGUUACAGCAAUUUGACUGAUGUAAAUAUAAUUCAAGACUGAAUUGAUUCCAAUAGCUGCAAUUGUUUGUUAAUUUGACUUUUUCAAACCAAGGCUGUUUGGGGAAAAGUUGUGAUUUGUACCUUUUUGAGGUGAGCCUCGCAACAACGUCAAAUGAUGAUUUCUAGCUGUAAUCAGUGAUGCAGGAUCCACCCCUACCUUUCCAGAAUGUAAGCACAAACAAGCAGCAACUUGUAAAGUUUGAUACACAUGCUGUUCAUUGAUGUGCCACAGAGUUUGCAACGAUGUUCAUUUCAUCCUAUUCAUGUGGCUUUUUGAGUUGAGCACUAAUUAAUUCAUUGUGUGAGUUACUGUGGAAAGUUUUGCUUAUGUCAAGGCUUAGGUGGCACAUAAGUUCAAAGUACAUUUAUUAUCAAAGUGUGUAUACCAUAUACGACCUUGAGAUUCAUCAUCUUGCAGGCAGCCACAAGACAAAGAAACAAUAGAAUGUGUGAAAAAGAAUCCACACAACAAAGUCGGUCAAACAUCCAAUAUGCGAAGAAAAGAACAAAUCGUGCAGUUUUUAAGAAGUAAACAAAUGAUAUACUGAGUGUGAACUACAGAAUCCUGGAAAAUGAGUCCAUGGCCAUGAAGGUAGUUGAGCACAGGCUCUUGUGGAUGGCUGCAGUCCAUUUAGCGCUGAACUAAAUAAAGUCUCACUGGGUAGUGAGCUGAACACUGGUUCAUCCUUUGUCCCCGACCCCAAUAUCUUAAUCUUUUUAACCUGUCUCGGUGUUAAUUCAGCUAAAAUUCAGUUUGCUGUUAGCUCUUGGGCCCGGCCCCGCCACUUCAAUCCAGCCCCAAGUCUGCUCCAGCAAAGGCCUUCGUGGCCGUACCUGCAUUUCUCGACAGUGCAUUUCACUGAAUCCUUCAGGAUACCGCCAAAAACGCCAGGUCUUAGAGACAGUUCCAAAACACAAAUCCCAAAGGGAAAUUACGUGUAGAAGAUGCAGUGAUUAUAGUUGUGAAAAAAUAUAUUUAGUAGAAUAGAUACUGAAAUCUAAAUGAGUUAAACUUCGGGCUGGGUGUGGAGGGAUGUCAUAUGUUGCACGUGAAGGCAUUUCAGUUCAAAUGUGAACUUCUGAGGAACGAUCUGCUGGAGAAACACAACAGGUCAAGCAGCCUUGAUGGGAGGGAACAGAAUUGUCAACAUUAACAAUUCCUUCUCUCCCACAAUUGCUGCUUGAACUGCUGAGUGUUUCCAGUAGAUUUUGUUUCUCGAGAUUCCGACAUCUACAGUCUCUGCAGUCCCCUAUGAACUUCAGGGGUUUGAUGCAUCACUUUCUUAGACUAUGACAUAGGAGCAAACUAGGCCGUUUGGUUCAUUGAGUCUGCUCUGCAAUUCUAUCACUGCUAACUUAUUAUCCCUCUGAACCCCAUUUGCUUGCCUUCUCACAGUAACCUUUGAUGCCCUGAUUAAUCAAGAACACAUCAACCUCUAACUUAAAUAUACCCAGUGCCUUGACCUGCAUAACUGUCUGUGGCAAUGAAUUCCACACAUUCACCGCCAUCUGGCUAAAGAAAUUUUUCCUCAUCUCUGUUCUAAAUGGAUGUCCCUCUGAGUCUCUGCCCCCUGUGGUCCUAGAAUCCCCCACUAUAGGAAAUAUCCUCUCCACAUCCAUUCUAGCUAGGCCUUUCAAUAUUCAUUAGGUUUCCCCCUCAUUCUUCUAAACUCCAAUGAGUAAUUCCUUGUUGCCAAUGUUAUGUUUUGUAAUUUCAAAACAUUAAACUAAUUCAAAGGAAGACAUGGGAGUUCAGUAAUACGGGUCUAACUUUGCACUUACUUUAAGCGAGGCGCCCAUGUAUCAAGUGGUAACGUGAUGUAUGCAAUUCACGUUAUAACUUAUAACCCGCAAUGAGUUAUUUCAGCAAAUAUGAAUGCUUAAUCAUUGUGUGUGUGUGUGUGUGUGUAUACAUGGAUCUUUCAAAAAUUACUGAAAUAUUAAAUACACAACAUACUUUAAUCUCAAUACAGAAUGUAUCUCUACUAUAUAUAGACAUCCAUAUCAUAGUAAAUUUUAAGUGUCCCAUUCAGACCUAAAGAUUUAAUCACUGGAGGAUUUUGUAGGAUAAACACUAUUCCUGACAAGUGGGAUCACUCUGCUUGGCGGAUGACACUUGUGGCUGUGAAACAAUAUCAGGUUCUGGGGUCUUCUCUAUGUUGCUUGUAGGAGUUGACUCUGGGGCUGCUGGAAGUGGUUCUGACAGCUAUGGCCACUGUUCUCUAACAGCUGACUCUGGUCUCUUCAACUGAUUGAUGUGCCCUCUCCGAAUGAUAUCAACACCCAAUGCAGGAGAAAAACAAAUCAUGCGAACAAUUGAAGUGAACGACAAUAUUCUAAACCAGGAUUGAGCCCUCAGAUCAAAACCCGGGAGUAGACCCAAAGCCUUGCUUAUCCAUGUCAUGUCGCAUCCACUACUAAGUAAUUAGUGACCAGGAAGGAAGGGGCUGGCAAAUUCCACAUGAAUCCUCUGCCAGAGUAAUGGAGAGGUGCUGCCCUUGGCAUCUUCCGGACAUAUUGGCAUCCCUGUCAGUGCACGGUAAGAUGCUCGAACUAUCCUAGGCCAACAGACACAUCUUCAAGCCAACACUUGAAUUUGGCCAUAUUUAUAUGAGUAGUAUGUAGUUCUUCUCAGCAUGGAUGGUAUAACAAAUCCCCACUUAAGGCAACCACCAUCAAGGGCAAGUUCAUCUAUAAAAUUCAAUGUGCACAUGUCACUGAGCAACAGAUUAUUCAGCACAAGAUUUUUGCGCACACUGGUUAUUUACAAAUUAGAGGGAAUUUUGGUUGAAACAUUUUUGCUUCAAGCCAGACUCAAGGCCUCUGUCAAUCUGCAUAAUUUUUCUCCGCAGCGAUAAGGAAACAUGAUGUAAAAUCUAUGGGGUGCUUAUCCUAAACCAUAAGGUGAGGUGGCACAGGCAAGUUUCACUGGGCAAUGUGGAUCAUGAUGUGUUGUCAGUACAGUGUCUGAUGUCACCAUUUCCUUUACAUUUUUGAGAGCCAUCUCACUCUGCUUUGUGUGUGGCCAAUUCUUCACAAUCUAUAGUAAUGAGUUCAAGCACUGUAGCCAGGUUUGGCAGGAACCUGUUAUAGUAGUUGACAAAUCCUAAAACGGACUACAACUAUGACAUGCCCUGUAGCCUUGGGGCAUCAACCACUGUUUAAAUUUUCUCAACAUAUUUGUGUAAUCCUUGCACAUUAAUUAUGUUGUUUCUCCCUUCAACCGUCUGCGUGAGAUGAUGGGACUUUUGAGAGACUUUGAGACUUUUUUUUUACAGUGUCCAUGGUCUGUUCUUAAUCAAAUUAUGGUAUUGCUUUGCACUGUUGUAACUAUAUGUUACAAUUAUGUGCUUUUUGUCAGUUUUUAGUCUUGGUUUGUCUUGUGUUUCUGUGAUAUAAUUCUGGAGGAACAAAUUGUAUCAUUUCUUAAUGCAUGCAUUACUAAAUGACAAUAAAAGAGGACUGUAUGUCCUCAUAAUCUAAUCUAAUGUGACCACAGUAAAUCAAGAUCAAAGUUGCUGGUGAACGCAGCAGGCCAGGCAGCGUCUCUAGGAAGAGGUACAGUCGACGUUU